AGAGUUUGAUCAUGGCUCAGAUUGAACGCUGGCGGCAGGCUUAACACAUGCAAGUCGAACGGUAACAGGAGAAAGCUUGCUUUCUUGCUGACGAGUGGCGGACGGGUAAGUAAUGCUUGGGAAUCUGGCUUAUGGAGGGGGAUAACUACGGGAAACUGUAGCUAAUACCGCGUAAUAUCUUCGGAUUAAAGGGUGGGACUUUCGGGCCACCUGCCAUAAGAUGAGCCCAAGUGGGAUUAGGUAGUUGGUGGGGUAAAGGCCUACCAAGCCGACGAUCUCUAGCUGGUCUGAGAGGAUGACCAGCCACACUGGAACUGAGACACGGUCCAGACUCCUACGGGAGGCAGCAGUGGGGAAUAUUGCACAAUGGGGGGAACCCUGAUGCAGCCAUGCCGCGUGAAUGAAGAAGGCCUUCGGGUUGUAAAGUUCUUUCGGUGAUGAGGAAGGUGUUUGUUUUAAUAGAACAAGCAAUUGACGUUAGUCACAGAAGAAGCACCGGCUAACUCCGUGCCAGCAGCCGCGGCAAUACGGAGGGUGCGAGCGUUAAUCGGAAUGACUGGGCGUAAAGGGCACGCAGGCGGUGACUUAAGUGAGAUGUGAAAGCCCCGAGCUUAACUUGGGAAUUGCAUUUCAUACUGGGUCGCUAGAGUAUUUUAGGGAGGGGUAGAAUUCCACGUGUAGCGGUGAAAUGCGUAGAGAUGUGGAGGAAUACCGAAGGCGAAGGCAGCCCCUUGGGAAUAUACUGACGCUCAUGUGCGAAAGCGUGGGGAGCAAACAGGAUUAGAUACCCUGGUAGUCCACGCUGUAAACGCUGUCGAUUUGGGGAUUGGGCUUAGAGCUUGGUGCCCGUAGCU
rnacentral:rRNA from 1 species